rnacentral:misc_RNA from 1 species
GCUUUAAGGAAAGCUCUUUGUUUUUUGAAAUGAUGCUUUUAUGAGAUAGAGCUUUUUUAGAUAAUGCUUUUUUAGAUAAUGCUGGGGAAGGUUUUCCGGUUUAUCUCGGAGGGCUUGUAGCUCAGUUGGUUAGAGCGCGCGCUUGAUAAGCGUGAGGUCGGAGGUUCAAGUCCUCCCAGGCCCACCAAUUUACCUAUCCAUUUGCCUUUAUCCGUUUAUUUGCCGAUUUAUCGGUCUAUUGAAUUUAAGUGUUGGUAGCAGUUUUUAUAAUGAUGAGAAAUCAUGCUUAUAAAAGAACUCCUUAUAAAAGGCUUGUUUUUAAAAUGUGACGCUUAUCCAUUUCGCUUAGGCAAGAGAAACUUCAAGCGGUUCAAAUGCAAAAGGCUUUAAAUUUUGCAAAACACUUUGAAUUUUAAAGUGAUCCAAGUUCGUGAUCUCGAAUUUAAAAGUUUCGAAUGCUUUAUCCUUUUUUGGGGGCCGUAGCUCAGCUGGGAGAGCACCUGCUUUGCAAGCAGG